rnacentral:rRNA from 1 species
GGAGUCUAGCAUGUGCGCGAGUCAUUGGGAGCUUCGCGGCUAAACCUAAAGGCGAAAUGAAAGUGAAGGCGGCCCUCGCGGCCGCCCAGGGAGGACGGACGGGGCUCGCGCCGCCGUCCCGCACUCCCGGGGCGUCUCGUUCUCAUCGCGAGGAGAGGCGCACCCAGAGCGUACACGCUGGGACCCGAAAGAUGGUGAACUAUGCCUGGUCAGGACGAAGUCAGGGGAAACCCUGAUGGAGGUCCGUAGCGAUUCUGACGUGCAAAUCGAUCGUCGGAACUGGGUAUAGGGGCGAAAGACUAAUCGAACCAUCUAGUAGCUGGUUCCCUCCGAAGUUUCCCUCAGGAUAGCUGGCGCUCGCUCACGCGAGUCUCAUCCGGUAAAGCGAAUGAUUAGAGGCAUUGGGGUCGAAACGGCCUCAACCUAUUCUCAAACUUUAAAUGGGUGAGAUCUCCGGCUUGCUUGAACGCGCGUUCGCGCGCUUGAAGCCGCGAGAUCGGAUCAGAGUGCCAAGUGGGCCACUUUUGGUAAGCAGAACUGGCGCUGUGGGAUGAACCAAACGCAGAGUUAAAGCGCUCAAAUCGACGCUUAUGGGACACCAUGAAAGGCGUUGGUACCUUAAGACAGCAGGACGGUGGCCAUGGAA